UACAGAGGGGGCGAGCGUUAUUCGGAAUUAUUGGGCGUAAAGAGCUCGUAGGCGGCUUGUCGCGUCGGAUGUGAAAGCCCGGGGCUUAACCCCGGGUCUGCAUUCGAUACGGGCAGGCUAGAGUUCGGUAGGGGAGAUCGGAAUUCCUGGUGUAGCGGUGAAAUGCGCAGAUAUCGGGAGGAACACCGGUGGCGAAGGCGGUUCUCUGGGCCUGACCUGACGCUGAGGAGCGAAAGCGUGGGGAGCGAACAGG
rnacentral:rRNA from 1 species